AUGGACCAUUCCAUCACUUAUUCCCGUGGCUAUGCAUUGGAUUCGGAUGACGAAGGUCCCGAUGAACAAGUUGAUGAGGAGGGGUUCACGGUGAAGGAGGCCGAAGCUUUUGAGAAGGUAUUCGGUCGUGAUCAUCGGACUACAUUGUUCAAGGAUGUUAGUAUCACGGAUGAAGUCGUGGUAGAUGGUGGCCAAGGUAUAUCUCUUGGAGUUAGGCCAAGAUCCCACCGUGAUUUGGAUGACGGCAAGAACGGGAUUGCUAAAGGGUCUAAGUUCGAUACCUUCUUGGAAUUGAAGAUGUGGCUCAACAACUACUCGGUUACGCAUUAUCGUCCACAUAAGGUGGUGAACUCGGACGUCAAUGUGCGCUACACGGUUGCAUGUGCAUGUGAAGAUGAAUAUGUCCGUGGAUUGUGCGUGCAAGACCAUGGAAAGGAGGUCCCACUUGGCACGUAG
rnacentral:rRNA from 1 species